rnacentral:rRNA from 1 species
CCUACGGGAGGCAGCAGUGGGGAAUAUUGGACAAUGGGCGAAAGCCUGAUCCAGCAAUUCCGCGUGUGUGAAGAAGGCCUUCGGGUUGUAAAGCACUUUAGUUGGGAAGAAACAGCUUGGCCACACCAAGCCUUGACGGUACCCAAAGAAUAAGCACCGGCUAACUCUGUGCCAGCAGCCGCGGUAAUACAGAGGGUGCAAGCGUUAAUCGGAUUUACUGGGCGUAAAGGGUGCGUAGGUGGUUUUGUAAGUCGGAUGUGAAAGCCUGGGGCUCAACCUCAGAAUUGCACUCGAUACUGCAAGACUAGAGUUCGGUAGAGGGCGGCGGAAUUCCCGGGUGUAGCGGUGAAAUGCGUAGAUAUCGGGAGGAACAUCAAUGGCGAAGGCAGCCGCCUGGGCCUGAACCUGACACUGAGGCACGAAAGCGUGGGUAGCAAACAGGAUUAGAUACCCUGGUAGUCCACGCUGUAAACGAUGAGAACUUGACGUUGGUUCGUUUUACGAAUCGGUGUUCGCNGCUACGCGAUAGUUACUCCGUCCGUCGGGAGGUACGGCCGCGAGGUAGUAACGUUAAAGGUAAGUAGACGGCGUAGAGAGUGCGACGGACGACGACGAGGGAGGAGG